UCCUCAACACUGCACAGCAUCCUGGAUGA
rnacentral:piRNA from 1 species